rnacentral:rRNA from 1 species
UGUUCCGCACGAGCGCACCCUUAUCCUUUGUUGCCAGCACGUAAUGGGGGGAACUCAAAGGAAACUGCCGGGGAUAAACCGGAGGAAGGGGGGGAUGACGUCAAGUCAUCAUGGCCCUUACAAGUAGGGUUACACACGUGCUACAAGGGGAAAUACAAAAAAAAGCGACCUCGCGAAACCAAGCGGAACUCAUAAAGUCUGUCGAAGUCCGGAUUGGAGUCUGCAACUCAACUCCUUGAAGUCGAAAUCGCUAGUAAUCGUGAAUCAAAAUGCUACGGGGAAUACUUUCCCGGGCCUUGUACACCCCACCCUA